rnacentral:rRNA from 1 species
CCUACGGGAGGCAGCAGUGGGGAAUCUUGCGCAAUGGGCGAAAGCCUGACGCGGCCAUGCCGCGUGAAUGAUGAAGGUCUUAGGAUUGUAAAAUUCUUUCACCGAGGACGAUAAUGACGGUACUCGGAGAAGAAGCCCCGGCUAACUUCGUGCCAGCAGCCGCGGUAAUACGAAGGGGGCUAGCGUUGCUCGGAAUUACUGGGCGUAAAGGGAGCGUAGGCGGAUAGUUUAGUCAGAGGUGAAAGCCCAGGGCUCAACCUUGGAAUUGCCUUUGAUACUGGCUAUCUUGAGUACGGAAGAGGUAUGUGGAACUCCGAGUGUAGAGGUGAAAUUCGUAGAUAUUCGGAAGAACACCAGUGGCGAAGGCGACAUACUGGUCCGUUACUGACGCUGAGGCUCGAAAGCGUGGGGAGCAAACAGGAUUAGAUACCCUGGUAGUCCACGCUGUAAACGAUGAGUGCUAGUUGUCGGGCAUGCAUGCAUGUCGGUGACGCAGCUAACGACAUUAAGACACCUCCGCCGUCGGGGAGGUACGGUCGGCGAGAAGUUAAACUACUUAAAUUAGUAAGUUAGUUACGGCGUUGAGACGUGCCGACGGACGACCGACGAGGGGAGGUUAGG